rnacentral:lncRNA from 1 species
ACUCUGAGGGCAGAAAAAAAUAACUUACUGGAGAACAUGCGACACAUGCAGCAAGAGUUGAUCUCAAAUGGUUUAAGCUUCCCAGUGAUGUAUAAAUUUAAUGGCAGUGUUCCUGAAGGAAUGAAUUCGCUUCACUGUGAACUGGAACUUGCUCAGUCUUCUGAGAUUACCAAGGCUGAAUGGAUGUCCCUGGAUGAAACACUGGACCGUGAAGUACUGUGCUUACUUCAGGGACCUGAGUAUGCGGGAGAAAAAUUUAAGGCUGUUAUGCAAAACCUGGUCAGUGGCAUAGCUU